CCGUUGACUCCUGCUCCCUCCUCCUCCUCAUCAUACUCCUCAUCGUGCUGCUUUUGAUGUUUCCUCCUCUCCCUCCUCCUCAUGCUGAAGGGGGGUGCAGGGUGCUCCAAAAUAGGAGCCUUGCUUUUUGUCUUUUAAUGAAACCUGCUAUUCUAACCGCAAAUAACAGACAAUCUGCCACGGGAGUAGAUCCAACAGUACCUCGUUCUCUGUUGCAGCAUCAUGAAGAUCUUUGUGCUGCCCGUGCCGCGACGUCUGCAGAAAGGGCUGCUGCUGAGCUGCUGGAGAAUACCAGUGUUCUGUGUGUAUCAGUGACAGAAGAGAGACCUGAGCCCAUCAACACUUCAGCAGGAGGGAGAGGGCCAUCAGAAGCAGCCACGUGCAGGAAGGGAAGACCCAGCUCACAUGAUGGCCAGUCCCCUGUUGGAUGUAGCCUGCGAGCGGGGCUGCUUUCGGGAGGAAGGAAGAGGAGAGUGAGAAGAGAGUGACCGUGGAUGGGCAGAUGUGCAGCAGCUGCCAGCUGGACCAUCUCACCUGUGUUGUUUGUUGUUUUUCAAAGAAACACCCACCUCUGUUUGUUUGCCUUCAUCUUCAUUUUGUAGGGUAUUGGCCAUGCCCUUUCUUUCACCUUUUCAAUGGCACUUUCUACCCGCUCAGUUACUUGUUGGUUUAGUGCUUUUAAAUACUUUUAAGCACAUCUUCAGAGUAG